AUGAAGACAAAUCCAGCAUUAGAUCAUGUGUACGUCAACGACGGCUUCAAGUGUUCCACGAUCAGUAUUACCACGAAUGGUACAGAAGCGAACGGUGGCAGCGGUGGAUCGCAGGGAUCAAAUGAAUUUAUAUUAACCAAAGACGGCAAAAAAAUGAUACCACCUGUUAAAACAAUGGAUUGUGCCAAAGCUUGGGUGCAAGACCGCACGAGACGUACCUUCAAUCGCAAGACGCUAUACAAACGCCUGCCCAUACUCCAUUGGUUGCCCAAAUACAGUACCGAAGAUGCUGUGGGCGAUGUGGUAGCUGGUCUGACUGUGGGUUUAACGGUAAUACCACAGGCGUUGGCGUACGCAGGCGUAGCUGGACUUCCAGCAGCUUAUGGUUUAUAUGGUUCCUUUUUGGGUUGCUUCAUCUACAUUUUACUUGGCAGUUGUAAGGACGUGCCAGUUGGCCCUUCGGCUAUCGUAGCGCUACUAACUUUUCAAACCGCUAAAGGUUCCGUGCCGCUGGCCGUAUUACUUACGCUGCUUUGUGGUAUUGUGGAAUUGUUUAUGGGCAUUUUUGGUUUGGGCUUCCUAUUGGAUUUCGUUUCUGGUCCUGUCUCAUCCGGUUUCACAUCAGCAGUUUCAUUAAUAAUUGUUGCAUCGCAAGUGAAAGACAUACUGGGCAUACCGGCGCCUGGUACAACAUUUUUGGAAAUUACAACACACAUUUUCGAGAAUAUCAAGCAGACACGCGCCACGGAUACGAUUUUGGGUAUCACAUGCAUCGUGGUGCUACUGAUGAUGAGGUUGUUAUCAUCAUUGAAGAUUGGUCCCAAGGAGCCUACUCUGCGCUCGAAGACCCAAAAUAUUUUCAACAAAGUCAUGUGGCUGAUUGGCACAUCCCGUAAUGCCAUAUUGGUCAUCGUCUGCGGAAUCUUGGGCUAUAUGCUACAUUCCGAGGGCGAAAACACACCCUUCCGCGUUAUCGGUUACAUUCCCGCGGGCAUGCCUACUGUACAACCACCACCAUUCCACAUGUCCGCCAAUGAGACAUUAUCCGGGCAUGAGGAGAACUUCAUUGACAUGGUUAAAAAUUUAGGUUCUGGACUUAUUGUGCUGCCGCUCAUAUCGCUUAUGGAAACUAUUUCGAUCGCUAAAGCCUUUGGCAACGGCAAACCAGUGGAUGCCUCGCAAGAACUCAUCGCCAUUGGCAUUGCAAAUAUUGCCAAUUCCUUCGUGCAGGCCUUCCCAGGCACAGGUGCACUGAGUCGUGGCGCAGUCAAUAAUGCUAGUGGCGUGAGAACGCCGCUCAGCAAUAUCUACUCCGGCAGCUUAGUGAUCGUUGCGCUAAUCUUCUUUACACCCUAUUUCUUCUUCAUACCCAAAUCGACAUUGGCGGCGAUUAUCAUUGCUGCCGUUAUGUUUAUGGUCGAGGUGCGCGUAAUCAAACCAAUGUGGCGCGCCAAAAAGAGUGAUCUUGUCCCUGGUUUGGGCACAUUUAUCGCCUGUCUGGUGUUGCCGUUGGAAAUCGGCAUACUAAUUGGAGUCGGCUUGAAUGUCAUAUUUAUUCUGUACCAUGCGGCGCGUCCCAAAAUCACAACCGAAAUCCUAACCACUCAGGCCGGCAAUGAAUACCUCAUGAUCACGCCAGAUCGUUGUUUGAUUUUCCCCUCUGUGGAUUAUGUGCGGAAUCUGGUAACAAAACACUCCAUGCGACAAAAUGUACCCGUCGUUAUCGAUGCUUCGCAUAUUUACGGUGCUGAUUUCACUGCAGCCACUGUUAUCGAAUCGUUGUUGAGUGAUUUUGCUGCGCGCUCACAAUUAUUGUUCUUCUACAAUCUUAAACCCAGCAUUUGCGCGUUAUUCGCAACGCUUGCACCGGCGGAAUUCAUUGUCUACUAUCAGGAGGAACAGCUGGAUCAAUUGCUUAAGGAUCGGAAUUAUGAACAAAAGAAAACGAUAACGGUGUAGCUGAGAUUUAUGCAGUAAUGAUAGAAACCGUUGCGCGGUUGUUGUCAAAAAUGUGAUUCGUGUCGGGUCUGCACGGCCCACGCUACAAAAUGCUUGAUUAAUUUGAUCGAUUUUUUUAAAAUACGUCCCUAAUUUUAGUUGCAUGUACAUUGAGUAUGUAUUUACAUAUGUAGCGAGAUUUUACAUAUGUUUAGAUUUAAACCUGUUCAUAUGGAGUAUUAACUUAGUAUUGAUUACCAAAAAGAAGAAGUCCUUUUUAACUUAUACACAAUCAAUUUAUGUAAAGUAAAUAUUUAUGAAUUCGAAGCGGCAGAAAGCUUUCCCACACAUACAAAUGUAAAACAACUUUUUAACUUAUUUAUUAUACAUAUCAGAGGCAAAAUGCAAACGAAACGGGAAUUGUUAAGGAUUAAGACGAAUAUUUUAUUUAAACGAAAUGUAAAGUACAAUAAGAAAAAAAGAAACGCUAAGAGUGCUAUAAAGUUGUUGAAAAGAAUCGAAGUAGUAUUUUCCUCAAUCGAUUUAGCUAUAA
rnacentral:misc_RNA from 1 species